AUCAUUUACAUCAAUUACCUGUAAAUCUGACCCCAUCAAUCUUUUUUGAUUUUGUCUAUUUGGGUUCAGAAGCAUGAAGAACUUCUGCACAAGAAAUCCAGUUGAUUUAGUCACAUGCUGAGACAGUUACAAGGGCAGAUCCCAGAUGAGGAAAACUCUACAAGACAGGAAGCCUGAAAAAUGAUGCUGGAUCCAUUUCUGAGGAAAAGCAUUUAGGAGUUGUGGAAUCAAUCAAGUGAAAUCACACUAGGAGCCGAGGUCUGAUCAUUACCAUUGCCUUUCUUCAAUGACCCAGGAGUAGUAGAAUAUGGAGGUCUUCUCUUAUGAGAAAUUCUACAUAGAAACUUUCCAUAGAUCUAAGGUACUUUUAAUGCACUAAAAAAAUACAUGGGCACAUUUUAUUCCUCCAGAAAAUGAAUCCAUAAGUUGUUGCUGACUUUAGCUGACCUUCAUGCAAGUGUUUCAUGAUCAGUAUGGAAUGUGGGAUGUCUCUGUCUGUAAAAUGUUUUGUUUGAAAAUAUAGUCCAAUAACAUUGAUUUAUGGUGAUGUCUGCUCUCUAAACCCUUAUGGAUACUGCAUUUAGAAUGAAUGAAAUAGUGACAGUUCAUCACUCUGUGUGAGGUGAGCAGACUUGAAGCGUGAAUCGCACUUAUA
rnacentral:lncRNA from 1 species